rnacentral:rRNA from 1 species
UGUAGUCUGCAACCCGACUACAUGAAGCUGGAAUCGCUAGUAAUCGCGAAUCAGAAUGUCGCGGUGAAUACGUUCCCGGGUCUUGUACACACCGCCCGUCACACCAUGGGAGUCGGAAAUGCCCGAAGUCAGUGACCCAACCGUAAGGAGGGAGCUGCCGAAGGUGGAGCCGGUAACUGGGGUGAAGUCGUAACAAGGUAGC